rnacentral:rRNA from 1 species
UACGUAGGGUGCAAGCGUUGUCCGGAAUUAUUGGGCGUAAAGAGCUCGUAGGCGGUGUGUCGCGUCGGCCGUGAAAACCUGCAGCUUAACUGUGGGCUUGCGGUCGAUACGGGCAUCACUGGAGUUCGGCAGGGGAGACUGGAAUUCCUGGUGUAGCGGUGAAAUGCGCAGAUAUCAGGAGGAACACCGGUGGCGAAGGCGGGUCUCUGGGCCGAUACUGACGCUGAGGCACGAAAGCGUGGGGAGCAAACAGG